UCACGAUUGCGAUUAGCUAUAAAAGAAAAUAAGGAGGAAAAACGAGGAAAAUAAAGAAGAAAUAUUAUUUCUCGGUCAUCAGUUUUUCUUUGAAAUUUCAGAUUCAAGUUGGCGCACCUUUGUUCUCAUACUACUCAUUUAUCGUAACCAAACUCAUAUGCAGAGUCCAACCAGUUCUGACAUGUUUGGAAGCUCUAGAAACGAUAAUCUCGAUACUGCGACGUAACUGAGAAAGAAUACGUAAAACUCCAAGGAAAAGAAGUAAGACGAGAAGUUGCGAGUCAAUCGUGGAUCAAACAAAAGUCUUCUCAAGUUUCGUUGGAAGGAGCAUUGGAUUAAGCGACUGAGGCAGACCAUAAAAGCUGAACGGGAUUUCACUGAAGGCUGGCUCCGCUGCUAGGUGAACAACUGCUGUCGGUUGAUUCGCUUCCGUGGUUGCUUAUAAAAUCGUUGGCCUCUUCUCUGCGCAGUGACAUGCACACAUACCUGUGUAGCGGCAUCGAAAGAGACUCCUAUAAUGUUGUCUGCGUGUUCCAACAAUUCGGGACGAAACGUGAUGGCGAUGAACUGAGACUUGUGAGAAAAUUUACCAACCAUGGCGGCCACGUUUGAGCGAUAACUUGCAUCUAGCGCCUAAAGGCCUCAUCAAGAAGAUAAAACGGUGCGCGAUCCAUCAUGAGGAUAGCAAAAAUGAAGGCCAUACUAACGACCGAUUUUUGACCACCCGAAAGACUCUUGAAAUCCCGAAUAUUGGUGGUACUGGAAAACGACACUUUGACAGCAACUCCAGUGACCCGAUCAACGUCAGGAAUCUGGAAAAGAAGAUUGAAAGAAGUUGUUCAGGUUCCCAUUUUACACAUCACCAAAACAAAAUCAAACAAAACAAAAAAGAAAAAAAAAAAAAAAAAAAGACAAAAACUUGCUUGCCUGGGGCUCGCCUUCGUUUUCACUGUCUGAGUCACUUUCUUGGCCGUCAUAAGUCCAUUUUAGAUGGCCUUUCCCCGGGCUAGGAACCAGCGUCUUAAACAUUUUGCGGAACAAUCUGGCCACUUGCAUAAGAGAGUACUGAAUAGCACUAUUUUUCUUGCUCUCGACAUUUUUAAUCAACUCAAUGCACUGACGAUGACUAUUGUUCAAACGAUCCAUUUGUUUGUUCAAAUCCUUCAACUUUUCUGCUGAGAAAGCGUAAUCCAAGGUAGCUUUCUGAUUGACUCCUUCAAAACUCUUAAGCUGUUCUUUAACCUGUUUUCAAAGUGAAGAUUAGCAUGUCUCCAAAAAUAAAUUACUUAUUUCUAUUUUCUUGCUCUAAAUACCAAGGUUAGUUCUCGUUCCAGCUUUUUUACAUUGUAGUCAGCAUAGAGAUCGAUAAUUUUCUUUUCAUUUUCUUCUGUAAAAGUUCCAAGGGUAAUCAGCGUUGAAAUGAUAACCCCCAGAGCAGCUUCUUUCCGCUUGAUGGAUUCUAUUAUCUUUUUUAUCUACGAAAUGGAAAACAACAUAUCAGCGUCAACUACCAAAUCCAACUAGAAAAAUACGCACAGCAUCAUGACGCUUGUCCAACUCUAUUUGUUGUUCGACUCGUCGAUUUUUGGUGGUGUCUAACUCGUUUUUGGUUUCGUCAACGGCCUUGGAUAAACUGACGAUUCUGUCUUCAGUAAUCUCACUUUCUUUACUGUUUUCCUUGAUCCUACAUUCAAGUUUCUUAAGAUGUUCCUCCAUGUCUUUUAUUGCUUGCUGGUGGACUUCGGCUCCAUACAGACCACAGUCGCUUUUUUCACGGAUGGUAUGUUCAAGAUCUUGUUUCGUUCUCAUAAGAUGGUCACUCAGUCGUGACUCUAGAGAAUUCUUCAUACCCUCAAGCUUCAAUCGUGUAGCAUUUACAUUUUUAAGCUUUAUUUUGUCGCUCUGAAUACUUUCAUUCAAUUGGUCAACCUCAGACCUUUCCUCCGAUCCAAGUUCUGUUUCAAAGUCCUAUUAGUACAACAUAAGUCAACUAAAAGUGUUUUUAUUUUUCCAUUCAUGAUCUGAAUUUGUUACCUUCUGAAGCUCGUCCUCUAACAUUUCGACCUUAGCACGGUGCGCUCCCAGCGACAUCAUCAGCUUUCUAGUAGACGCUAAUUUUCCUUCGAGUGCUUGCCUGGAAACAGAUAAGGCACCACGUUGCUUCUUCAGGUCUUCUUCAAGAAGUCCUACUUUACUUUGGCUAAGUUUUGUUUCAAUUUUUUGUAGUUCACUUGCAUUUUCAAUGCAUUUUUGAUCCGCGACUUGGAUUUGCACUUUCCACUUCAUGUAGGUAGGCCAAUUCAGUUUGCUCUACUCCCUUUGAUUGUUUGAAUUCAAAAUAGAUCUUGGAUCCAGAACUAGCAAUACUUCGGUACCCACCAUUAAGAACACCGUUCCGUCGAACCUAAAACUUACUUGGUAGAACAAACAAGACAUGCAACUAAUAAUAUUUUUACCGUGUCUCCUUCCAACGUAACGCAAUCUAUAUCAUACGUUUUCACGGCACGCAAAGCAACAUCGAAGUUCCUACACACAAGCACACGACCGAAAACCUGCUCCACUACAGGCGUCAUUUCGGGGACACAGUUCACUAUGGUCAUCAUAGGCAUCACAUCAUCUUCACCCUGUUUACCAGUUAUUAAUUGCAUUUAAAACCUCUGUAUUGUAAUGAACUGCAUACCCUGAUGAGGCCAAUUGGAGGAGUUCUUUGAAGCCGAUUGCGAGCAUAGAAAUUAAAUGAACCCGGCAAGCCAAAUCCAUUUUUGUAGGGUUCCUUGUUAAUCCAUUUCAGUAUCUCAGAAGCCGCUUUAUCGGUAUCAACAAUACUGUAGAAGAGUCUGAGAUGGGUAAUGCAAGUUUAUAUUCAAAACCAUUUCUAAAAGGGUAUGACGAUCAUUGCAAUAUCCUAACCUGUUCCCCCCCACAGCGUCGAUGGCACAGCAUACUUCAUCUGCACAUGUAAACUGAUCGAUCAGUAAGCCACGAUACUGAGAUGCCAUUUCAAAGGCAAGGGUGCCAUGUCCUUCUUGUUUCAUUUUGUCAAGUGUCAUUGCAAUACCUUCGAAGACUUGGGUUUGCUGUAAUAAUAGAUUUACUCAUUAAGCAUAGCAUCUAGUAGUAACAUAGCAAACUCAAACAGGGUAAAAGUUUGCUCUUACCGAAUACAUGGCACCCCUGAGUUUGCACUUGAGUCCUUCCAGUUUGUCAUACGAUUGUUUCCAAUGAUCACGCACGUCGCAUUGUUUCCGCCAUAAAUCACUUAAGUUAACAAAAGAAAAAAGAAAACUGUCAAGGAAAAGUUCUAAACUGAAAUGCAGCACUUGAUACGAUACUUGCGGGACAUUCGCAAUCUCCUUUGCUCCAGUAAUGUGGCACGGAACCCAGCUGAGCAAUGCAGCAAAUUCUCUCUUGCCCUCUGAGAAAGGUGAUGAAAUUCAUGGGACAGCACAAACUGUAUGGCUUGAAAACAUUUGAGAGGAUUAUUAACACCGGAGAAAGAAGGACCAAAUGGAAUUGGUUUCAGAGAAUACUUACCAUACAUAGCAUUAGUUUUGCCAGCUCCAUUUAUCCCAACUAAACAGAACAAUAAUAAACAUUUUUGACACAUUA